GACCUAACGGCACAGGGUGAAGUGGGUCAGGCACAAUACUAUAUGACUCUGAAAACGAAGUACGCAUGCGUAGCAGGUGGGUCAGCGGGCGGACUCAGUGCUGGAAGUAUUUUAAUAAUUAUUGUGAUAUGUGCGGUGGU